rnacentral:misc_RNA from 1 species
CUCGCGCCACGGAAGCCUUUGCAGCUGGAAACAGUUGGUCUGGACGACUCUAAAGAAAUCAGCCUUUAUGCAAGUCAGCGUCUCUGCUGGCGACACUUUCGAACUGACGGGGACACCCUAAAGCUCUCCACACCAAGCCAGCCAGGGAAACCUACUGGUGGCCCAUGGGAAACUAUGGGGUAUGGUAACAGAGGGAGAGAUGAUCUGAGGCACACGCCUUAGUGAAGUGGGCAAUCCGCAGCGAAGCUCCUAACGUCCUCGGGCCUGGCCCGAACCACGGAGAACGUUCACAGACUAAGUGGAAGUGGGUGGAGAGUAAUCUCCGCUUAAGAUAUAGUCGGGCCCCUUGGGAAACCUUGGGGGUAGCGAGUCUCGAGUCUCUCGAGCUUGGAACAAACCGUUCCGUAGGUGAACCUGCGGAAGGAUCAUUACCGUUGGAGUUCGCUCCAAUCUGGGAUAGAACCCUUGCCUUUGAGUACCUUUUCGUUUCCUCGGUGGGCUCGCCCGCCGGUGGACAACCAUAAACUCUUUGUAAUAGCAGUAUCUUCUGAGAAAAACAAAUAGUCAAAACUUUCAACAACGGAUCUCUUGGUUCUGGCAUCGAUGAAGAACGCAGC